rnacentral:rRNA from 1 species
CUACGGGUGGCUGCAGUGGGGAAUAUUGCACAAUGGGCGCAAGCCUGAUGCAGCCAUGCCGCGUGUAUGAAGAAGGCCUUCGGGUUGUAAAGUACUUUCAGCGGGGAGGAAGGGAGUAAAGUUAAUACCUUUGCUCAUUGACGUUACCCGCAGAAGAAGCACCGGCUAACUCCGUGCCAGCAGCCGCGGUAAUACGGAGGGUGCAAGCGUGUAAUCGGAAUUACUGGGCGUAAAGCGCACGCAGCCGGUUUGUUAAGUCAGAUGUGAAAUCCCCGGGCUCAACCUGGGAACUGCAUCUGAUACUGGCAAGCUUGAGUCUCGUAGAGGGGGGUAGAAUUCCAGGUGUAGCGGUGAAAUGCGUAGAGAUCUGGAGGAAUACCGGUGGCGAAGGCGGCCCCCUGGACGAAGACUGACGCUCAGGUGCGAAAGCGUGGGGAGCAAACAGGAUUAGAUACCCUGGUAGUC